GGAAGUGAAAGCUCCUCCUCGAGAAAAAGAAGAGCGAGAGAGUGAGAGAGGGUGGAAAAAAGAGGAGUGGAUGAUCUCCGCCCAUGACUUUAAAGAACCUGAAACAGGACGUGUGACAUGGACAAAAUGUGAUCUCUGUGGCGUGAUGCGUGGUGCCAAUACGAGUGCAGGGGUUUACUCAGAAUGGUGUGAAAAACAAAAAACAGCCAGUCUGCAGAUCUGCAGGGAGAAACAGCUUCAGGGAGAAACAGCGAGACAGGAAGGCUGAAAUAACUGCUCUUUAUGGCCAUGGCGAGCUGAAAAGCAUCCCAAUAUGCACAAUACCCUGAACCAUGAGGACGAUCAUUCCUGUCAGCCAAGAACAGGACUCUGAUGCUACAGUGGACACAGAUUCACCCACACUGUACAGAUGAAGACCGGAAAUACAGCAGGUGAUGUCUGUCCAGUCUUCACUGUAAACUGAAGCUCUCAGUCUGCGCCUGCAUGAUUUACUGCGUUGCACCGCUGACACGUGAUUGGCUGAUUGGAUAACUGCAUGAAUGUACGGGCGUUCCUAAUAAAAUGGCAGGUGAGUGUAUAAUCAUAA